UAUCGUCAUGUCACAGGCAUCUGCGAGCUCCUGGGUUGUGACCUCAAUGAACUUUGGAUCUUGAGCAAACUGCAUCAGUCCUUCCGAAAUCAAGACCUUCAAAAGCAGGAUGCAUUUGGUGACCCCUGGAGGGAUGUGACCCACCGAAUGAAAAACCACUGACUUCCACAGAGCUCCUUAUUGGGUGCUUAAGAGGUGAACUGCAGUUUCUUGUUUACCAGUUGAUGAAACACCUCCCUGUGGUGAAGGAGGGAUAAAUAAAGCUCCUUUUGGUUCUUACAAAGUUUUUUUUCAUGACAAUUCGCAACAAAAUCAAGUGUGUUGGUCAGUAAGA